rnacentral:rRNA from 1 species
UACGUAGGGUGCGAGCGUUGUCCGGAAUUACUGGGCGUAAAGGGCUCGUAGGCGGUUUGUCGCGUCGGAAGUGAAAACACGGGGCUUAACUCUGUGCUUGCUUUCGAUACGGGCAGACUAGAGGGAUGCAGGGGAGAGCGGAAUUCCUGGUGUAGCGGUGAAAUGCGCAGAUAUCAGGAGGAACACCAGUGGCGAAGGCGACUUUCUGGCCUGUUCUUGACGCUGAGGCGCGAAAGCUAGGGGAGCAAACGGG